AACAAUGAACUACAUGAGGUGUGUGAGAAAAGUGAGCUACAUCAGAUAUGUGUGAGAAGAAUGAGCUACAUGAGAUUAGUGAGAAGAAUGAUCUACAUGAUAUGUGUGAGAAGAAUGAGCUACAUGAGAUGUG